CCUACGGGAGGCAGCAGUGGGGAAUUUUGGACAAUGGGCGCAAGCCUGAUCCAGCAAUGCCGCGUGCAGGAUGAAGGCCUUCGGGUUGUAAACUGCUUUUGUACGGAACGAAACGGCGAGCUCUAAUAAAGUUCGCUAAUGACGGUACCGUAAGAAUAAGCACCGGCUAACUACGUGCCAGCAGCCGCGGUAAUACGUAGGGUGCAAGCGUUAAUCGGAAUUACUGGGCGUAAAGCGUGCGCAGGCGGUGAUGUAAGACAGAUGUGAAAUCCCCGGGCUCAACCUGGGACCUGCAUUUGUGACUGCAUCGCUAGAGUACGGUAGAGGGGGAUGGAAUUCCGCGUGUAGCAGUGAAAUGCGUAGAUAUGCGGAGGAACACCGAUGGCGAAGGCAAUCCCCUGGACCUGUACUGACGCUCAUGCACGAAAGCGUGGGGAGCAAACAGGAUUAGAUACCCUGGUAGUCCACGCCCUAAACGAUGUCAACUGGUUGUUGGGUCUUCACUGACUCAGUAACGAAGCUAACGCGUGAAGUUGACCGCCUGGGGAGUACGGCCGCAAGGUUGAAACUCGAAAUGAAUUGACGG
rnacentral:rRNA from 1 species